rnacentral:rRNA from 1 species
AUGGUUCUUACUGCACAUUUCAUCGAUUCUUCGUGGAACCUUAGGAAAAAAAUUAUUAGCUUUGUCUUGGUAGAUGGACACAAAGAGGACGAUAUUGGGAAAUCAUUAGAAAAAUUACUGAUUGAGUGGGGCAUUGAACGAGUGUGCACUAUUAUAGUAGAUAAUGCGAGUUCUAAUGACACCUACUUAGCCUACAUGAAGAGAUCUUUGACUAAUAGGGGAUGCACACAUGCAAGAAGUCAAUAUCUUCACAUGAGGUGUGUGGCUCACAUUGUUAAUCUUGUGGUUCAAGAUGGGCUAAAGAUAAUGUGCCAUCAUGUAAAUAGAAUUCGCCAUGCUAUCAAGUUUGUUAGAGCCUCCCCAACUAGACUGGAUGUAUUUAAGAAGUGUGUGCAACUCAGCAAGGUAGCGAGCAAAGGUUUGAUUAAUAUUGAUGUGCCUACUAGAUGGAACUCUACAUUUGUAAUGCUAGACAAUGUUGAGAAAUUUGAGAGGGCAUUUGAGCAAUAUGCACUUCAUGAUCCCAACUACAAGACCGAGUUAGAAAAAACUGGUCCAGAACCUAAGCCCGAUGCUCUUGACCAACGGGGUCCUCCAACUCAAAGUGAUUGGGUAUAUGUUCGUGAGUUCAAACAAUUCCUCCAACACUUCUAUGAACUCACGAAUAAGGUUUCUAGCACCAAGUAUGUUACAACCAACACCUUCUUGGAAGAGAUUGCUGAUGUUAACUUUUUGUUGGGUGAAUGGAGUGAUCAUGUGAUCUGUGGCGAUGAUGAAAUAUUUAAAUGCAUGGCUCUCAAGAUGAAAGCGAAGUAUGAGUAG